GCCUGGCUGGCUCAGUUGGUAGAGCAUGUGACUCUUGAUCCCAGGGUCCUGUGUUCAAGCCCCAUGUUGGGCA
rnacentral:tRNA from 1 species